rnacentral:rRNA from 1 species
AUGAACGCUAGCGGCAGGCCUAACACAUGCAAGUCGAGGGGCAGCGGGGAGGUAGCAAUACCUUUGCCGGCGACCGGCGCACGGGUGAGUAACACGUAUGCAAUCCACCUGUAACAGGGGGAUAACCCGGAGAAAUCCGGACUAAUACCCCAUAAUAUGGGCGCUCCGCAUGGAGAGCCCAUUAAAGAGAGCAAUUUUGGUUACAGACGAGCAUGCGCUCCAUUAGCCAGUUGGCGGGGUAACGGCCCACCAAAGCGACGAUGGAUAGGGGUUCUGAGAGGAAGGUCCCCCACAUUGGAACUGAGACACGGUCCAAACUCCUACGGGAGGCAGCAGUGAGGAAUAUUGGUCAAUGGUCGGCAGACUGAACCAGCCAAGUCGCGUGAGGGAAGACGGCCCUACGGGUUGUAAACCUCUUUUGUCGGAGAGUAAAGUACGCUACGUGUAGCGUAUUGCAAGUAUCCGAAGAAAAAGCAUCGGCUAACUCCGUGCCAGCAGCCGCGGUAAUACGGAGGAUGCAAGCGUUAUCCGGAUUUAUUGGGUUUAAAGGGUGCGUAGGCGGCACGCCAAGUCAGCGGUGAAAUUUCCGGGCUCAACCCGGACUGUGCCGUUGAAACUGGCGAGCUAGAGUGCACAAGAGGCAGGCGGAAUGCGUGGUGUAGCGGUGAAAUGCAUAGAUAUCACGCAGAACCCCGAUUGCGAAGGCAGCCUGCUAGGGUGCGACAGACGCUGAGGCACGAAAGCGUGGGUAUCGAACAGGAUUAGAUACCCUGGUAGUCCACGCAGUAAACGAUGAAUACUAACUGUUUGCGAUACAAUGUAAGCGGUACAGCGAAAGCGUUAAGUAUUCCACCUGGGGAGUACGCCGGCAACGGUGAAACUCAAAGGAAUUGACGGGAGCCCGCACAAGCAGUGGAGUAUGUGGUUUAAUUCGACGCAACGCGAAAAACCUUACCAGGGAUUGACAUCCUGAGGACCCGGCGUAAUGGCCGGGGUGCCCUUCGGGGAACUCAGAGACAGGUGGUGCAUGGUUGUCGUCAGCUCGUGCCGUGAGGUGUCGGCUUAAGUGCCAUAACGAGCGCAACCCCUAUGGACAGUUACUAACGGGUGAAGCCGAGGACUCUGUCUAGACUGCCGGCGCAAGCCGCGAGGAAGGUGGGGAUGACGUCAAAUCAGCACGGCCCUUACGUCCGGGGCGACACACGUGUUACAAUGGCAGGUACAGAAGGCAGCCAGUCAGCAAUGACGCGCGAAUCCCGAAAACCUGUCUCAGUUCGGAUUGGAGUCUGCAACCCGACUCCAUGAAGCUGGAUUCGCUAGUAAUCGCGCAUCAGCCAUGGCGCGGUGAAUACGUUCCCGGGCCUUGUACACACCGCCCGUCAAGCCAUGGAAGCCGGGAGUACCUGAAGCAUGCAACCGCAAGGAGCGUACGAAGGUAAUACCGGUAACUGGGGCU